rnacentral:lncRNA from 1 species
AACAUUUGUUUGUUUGCUUUGAUAUGUAUGGGCAGCUUUUUGUGCUGAAUCCGGCCAUGGCGGGGUUUAUGGAUUUGGCUGCAUUGUGGUGUAGUUGCGGACAUCAAAGGUUACUGGGGGAUUUGUCGCAUGAUUCCGAGAGCUGGGGUUUGAUGGGUUGCUGUUCCAUUUCAAAUGAAACAAUUGCCCCAAAGCUUAGGGAGGUUGUUUCCAGCUGUAGUGUGUAUGUGUGGAUCGGAUUUGAUCAUCAUUGGAUUCCUGGAUUGGGGGAUAUGCAUCUUCAAAGUUGACAGGGAUUUUCAACAAGC